ensembl:lncRNA
CAGAAUUGGAAAAAGUAAAAAAAGAAAUACAAAUUGAGCGUGACCGGUACAAAAGCUACCUACGCUCCAUCCAGGGCAACGUCUGUACACUGCUCUAAGGGGAGGUGUUAGAGGUAUCGGGCAGUGCACCUUUUCAUCCCAGCACCUCACAGGCCAGUCAGGAAACAAUCUUUCCCUGCCCAGAUGGAAAGAUCCAUAUCGGGGGUGGAGCAUACAUAUCAGCAGGGAUCUGGAGCUGGAUCAGAGGAGCCAAAAAUGACUCCCGGUUCUGCAAGGACCUUGCUGUAGCCAUCUGGGAGUCAGAGGUCCUGCGGAACUGAUCCACUGAGAGGAAGGUAUGCAACAGGCUCAAAGGCCAAGGAGCUGUUGCCAAACCUCCCCUUACGCCUGAAAAAUAUCAAGCAGUUAAAGACUCAUUCAAGAGAUGGCUGCAGGAAAAAGGUGUCCCGGAACCAGAGGUGGCUUUUCGCGUUGCUGCAGUAAAAUUGGGAAGCA